UACGUAGGGGGCAAGCGUUGUCCGGAAUCAUUGGGCGUAAAGCGCGUGUAGGCGGCUCGGUAAGUCUGCUGUGAAAGUCCAGGGCUCAACCCUGAAAUGCCGGUGGAAACUGUCGGGCUAGAGUCCGGAAGAGGCGAGUGGAAUUCCUGGUGUAGCGGUGAAAUGCGCAGAUAUCAGGAGGAACACCAAUGGCGAAGGCAGCUCGCUGGGACGGUACUGACGCUGAGACGCGAAAGCGUGGGGAGCAAACAGG
rnacentral:rRNA from 1 species